GCUACAGGCUUAACACAUGCAAGUCGAGGGGCAGCAUGGUCUUAGCUUGCUAAGGCCGAUGGCGACCGGCGCACGGGUGAGUAACACGUAUCCAACCUGCCGUCUACUCUUGGACAGCCUUCUGAAAGGAAGAUUAAUACAAGAUGGCAUCAUGAGUCCGCAUGUUCACAUGAUUAAAGGUAUUCCGGUAGACGAUGGGGAUGCGUUCCAUUAGAUAGUAGGCGGGGUAACGGCCCACCUAGUCUUCGAUGGAUAGGGGUUCUGAGAGGAAGGUCCCCCACAUUGGAACUGAGACACGGUCCAAACUCCUACGGGAGGCAGCAGUGAGGAAUAUUGGUCAAUGGGCGCAGGCCUGAACCAGCCAAGUAGCAUGAAGGAUGACUGCCCUAUGGGUUGUAAACUUCUUUUAUACGGGAAUAAAGUGAGGCACGUGUGCCUUUUUGUAUGUACCGUAUGAAUAAGGAUCGGCUAACUCCGUGCCAGCAGCCGCGGUAAUACGGAGGAUCCGAGCGUUAUCCGGAUUUAUUGGGUUUAAAGGGAGCGUAGGCGGACGCUUAAGUCAGUUGUGAAAGUUUGCGGCUCAACCGUAAAAUUGCAGUUGAUACUGGGUGUCUUGAGUACAGUAGAGGCAGGCGGAAUUCGUGGUGUAGCGGUGAAAUGCUUAGAUAUCACGAAGAACUCCGAUUGCGAAGGCAGCUUGCUGGACUGUAACUGACGCUGAUGCUCGAAAGUGUGGGUAUCAAACAGGAUUAGAUACCCCUGGUAGUCCACACAGUAAACGAUGAAUACUCGCUGUUUGCGAUAUACAGUAAGCGGCCAAGCGAAAGCGUUAAGUAUUCCACCUGGGGAGUACGCCGGCAACGGUGAAACUCAAAGGAAUUGACAGGGGCCCGCACAAGCGGAGGAACAUGUGGUUUAAUUCGAUGAUACGCGAGGAACCUUACCCGGGCUUGAAUUGCAACUGAAUGAUGUGGAGACAUGUCAGCCGCAAGGCAGUUGUGAAGGUGCUGCAUGGUUGUCGUCAGCUCGUGCCGUGAGGUGUCGGCUUAAGUGCCAUAACGAGCGCAACCCUUAUCGAUAGUUACCAUCAGGUUAUGCUGGGGACUCUGUCGAGACUGCCGUCGUAAGAUGUGAGGAAGGUGGGGAUGACGUCAAAUCAGCACGGCCCUUACGUCCGGGGCUACACACGUGUUACAAUGGGGGGUACAGAAGGCAGCUACACGGUGACGUGAUGCUAAUCCCGAAAGCCUCUCUCAGUUCGGAUUGGAGUCUGCAACCCGACUCCAUGAAGCUGGAUUCGCUAGUAAUCGCGCAUCAGCCACGGCGCGGUGAAUACGUUCCCGGGCCUUGUACACACCGCCCGUCAAGCCAUGAAAGCCGGGGGUACCUGAAGUGCGUAACCGCAAGGAGCGCCCUAGGGUAAAACUGGUGAUUGGGGCUAAGUCGUA
rnacentral:rRNA from 1 species